rnacentral:rRNA from 1 species
CUACGGGUCGCUCCAGUGGGGAAUAUUGCACAAUGGAGGAAACUCUGAUGCAGCAACGCCGCGUGGAGGAUGACACUUUUCGGAGCGUAAACUCCUUUUAUAUAGGAAGAUAAUGACGGUACUAUAUGAAUAAGCACCGGCUAACUCCGUGCCAGCAGCCGCGGUAAUACGGAGGGUGCAAGCGUUACUCGGAAUCACUGGGCGUAAAGAGCGUGUAGGCGGGUUAAUAAGUCAGAAGUGAAAUCCUAUGGCUCAACCAUAGAACUGCUUUUGAAACUGUUAACCUAGAGUGUGGGAGAGGUAGAUGGAAUUUCUGGUGUAGGGGUAAAAUCCGUAGAGAUCAGAAGGAAUACCGAUUGCGAAGGCGAUCUACUGGAACAUAACUGACGCUGAGACGCGAAAGCGUGGGGAGCAAACAGGAUUAGAUACCCCAGUAGUC